CCUACGGGGGGCAGCAGUGAGGAAUAUUGGUCAAUGGGCGCGAGCCUGAACCAGCCAAGUCGCGUGAGGGAGGACGGCCCUACGGGUUGUAAACCUCUUUUGCCGGGGAGCAACGGGCGUCACGUGUGGCGCCCCUGAAAGUACCCGGAGAAAAAGCAUCGGCUAACUCCGCGCCAGCAGCCGCGGUAAUACGGAGGAUGCGAGCGUUAUCCGGAUUUAUUGGGUUUAAGGGGUGCGUAGGCGGAUCGUUAAGUCAGUGGUCAAAUUGAGGGGCUCAACCCCUUCCCGCCAUUGAAACUGGCGCUCUUGAGUGCUGGAGAGGCAAUCGGAAUUCCGGGUGUAGCGGUGAAAUGCGUAGAUAUACGGAGGAACACCAGUGGCGAAGGCGGAUUGCUGGACAGUAACUGACGCUGAGGCGCGAAAGCGUGGGGAGCAAACAGGAUUAGAUACCCCGGUAGUC
rnacentral:rRNA from 1 species